AUUGAACGCUGGCGGCAGGCCUAACACAUGCAAGUCGAACGAGUGGCGGACGGGUGAGUAAUGUCUGGGAAACUGCCUGAUGGAGGGGGCUAACUACUGGAAACGGUAGCUACUCCCGCAUACCAUCAGAGGUGCCCAGAUGGGAUUAGCUAGUUGGUGGGGUAACGGCUCCCCAAGGCGACGAUCCCUCACUGGUCUGAGCGGAUGACCAGCCACACUGGAACUGAGACACGGUCCAGACGCCUACGGGAGGCAGCAGUGGGGAUUAUUGCACAAUGGGCGCAAGCCGUAUGCAGCUAGGCCGCGUGUAUGAAGAAGGCCUUCGGGUUGUAAAGUACUUUCAGCGGUGAGGCGUUACCCGCAGAAGAAGCACCGGCUAACUCCGUGCCAGCAGCCGCGGUAAUAC
rnacentral:rRNA from 1 species